UUACGGCCACGUCACGUUGAAACAUUGGUUCUCAAACGAUCACCGAAGUUAAGCAACGUCGAUCCUGGUUAGUACCUAAAUGGGUGAUUCCUUGGAAAUACCAGGCGCU
rnacentral:rRNA from 1 species